GUUGGUGCUACUGCGCGGGGCCCUCUUUUCUGCGAAAUACAUUUCGCGGGUGUCACUGUGAAGAAAUUGGGGAUGCUCAAAGUACGCAGACGCGCUGUACACGUUAGCAUGGAAUGACAGACGACACCGGGGUCCUGGAGGUCGGUUUGGGGACCGAGUGAUGGUUGAUAGGGACACUCGAGGGCACUGGUAUUCGGCAGUCAGAGGUGAAAUUUCUUGGAUUUGCCGAGGACCGACGGGGGCGAAAGGCGUCUGCCACGAAUGUUUUCGUUGAUCACGAACGAAAGUCAGGGGAUCGAAGACGAUUAGAGACCGUGGUAGUCUUGACCGUAAACGAUGCCGGCUGAGAGCGGGGGGCGAUCGGAGACGAUGCCCCCCCGGGCUCUGGGAGAAAUCACAGCGUUUGGGUUCUGGGGGGAGUAUGGUCGCAAGGCUGAAACUUGAAGGAAUUGACGGAAGGGCACCACCAGGAGUGGAGCGCGCGGCUUAAUUUGACUCAACACGGGGAAACUCACCAGGUCCGGACACGGGAAGGAUUGACAGAUUGAGAGCUCUUUCGAGAUUGCGUGGGUGGUGGUGCAUGGCCGUUCUUGGUUGGUGGAGUGAUUUGUCUGGUUAAUUCCGAUAACGAGCGAGACCUCUGUGUGCAGUUGCGGGCAUUGGCUUUGGUUGGUGCUGGGUCUGCACGGACUGGCCC
rnacentral:rRNA from 1 species